rnacentral:rRNA from 1 species
CCUACGGGAGGCAGCAGUGAGGAAUAUUGGUCAAUGGGCGUAAGCCUGAACCAGCCAAGUCGCGUGAGGGAUGAAGGUUCUAUGGAUCGUAAACCUCUUUUAUCAGGGAAUAAAGUGCGGGACGUGUCCCGUUUUGUAUGUACCUUAUGAAUAAGGAUCGGCUAACUCCGUGCCAGCAGCCGCGGUAAUACGGAGGAUCCGAGCGUUAUCCGGAUUUAUUGGGUUUAAAGGGUGCGGAGGCGGCCUUUUAAGUCAGCGGUGAAAGUCUGUGGCUCAACCAUAGAAUUGCCGUUGAAACUGGGAGGCUUGAGUGUGUUUGAGGCAGGCGGAAUGCGUGGUGUAGCGGUGAAAUGCUUAGAUAUCACGAAGAACCCCGAUUGCGAAGGCAGCCUGCCAAGCCAUGACUGACGCUGAUGCACGAAAGCGUGGGUAUCAAACAGGAUUAGAUACCCGUGUAGUC